rnacentral:rRNA from 1 species
GAUGAACGCUGGCGGCGUGCCUAAUACAUGCAAGUCGAGCGAACGGACGAGAAGCUUGCUUUUCUGAUGUUAGCGGCGGACGGGUGAGUAACACGUGGAUAACCUACCUAUAAGACUGGGAUCACUUCGGGAAAUCGGAGCUAAUACCGGAUAAUAUUUUGAACCGCAUGGUUCAAAAGUGAAAGACGGUCUUGCUGUCACUGACAGAUGGGUCCGCGCUGCAUUUGGUAGUUGGUAAGGUAACGGCUCACCAAGGCGACGAUGCAUAGCCGAUCUGAGAGGAGGAUCGGCCACACUGGGACUGAGACACGGUCCAGACUCCUACGGGAGGCAGCAGUAGGGAAUUUUACGCAAUGGGCGAAAGCCUGACAGAGCAAUGCCGCGUGAAGGAUGAAGGUCUUCGGAUGGUAAAACGCUGUUAUUCGGGAGGAACAUCUGUUUAAGAAACUGGGCACGUCUUGACGGUACCUAAUCAGAAAGCUACGGCUAACUACGUG